rnacentral:rRNA from 1 species
CCUUCGGGGAUGAGUAGAGCGGCAAACGGGUGAGUAGCGCGUGGGAAUCUGCCCAGUAGCGGGGGAUAGGCCGGGGAAACCCGGAUUAAUACCGCAUACGCCCUACGGGGGAAAGGUGGCUUCGGCUGCCGCUAUUGGAUGAGCCCGCGUUAGAUUAGUUUGUUGGUGGGGUAAUGGCCUACCAAGGCUUCGAUCUAUAGCUGGUCUGAGAGGAUGAUCAGCCACAUUGGGACUGAGACACGGCCCAGACUCCUGCGGGAGGCAGCAGUGGGGAAUAUUGGACAAUGGGCGGAAGCCUGAUCCAGCCAUGCCGCGUGUGUGAAGAAGGCUUUAGGGUUGUAAAGCACUUUCAGCGGGGAGGAAUAGCGGGCGGUUAAUAGCCGUUUGCCUUGACGUUACCUGCAGAAGAAGCACCGGCAAACUCCGUGCCAGCAGCCGCGGUAAUACGGAGGGUGCGAGCGUUAAUCGGAAUUACUGGGCGUAAAGCGCGCGUAGGUGGCGCGUUAAGCAGGAUGUGAAAGCCCCGAGCUCAACUUGGGAAUUGCAUCCUGAACUGGCGGGCUAGAGUAUGGUAGAGGGUAGUGGAAUUUCUGGUGUAGCGGUGGAAUGCGUAGAUAUCAGAAGGAACAUCAGUGGCGAAGGCGACUAUCUGGACCAAUACUGACACUGUGGCGCGAAAGCGUGGGGAGCGAACAGGAUUAGAUACCCUGGUAGUCCACGCCGUAAACGAUGUCAAUUGGCCGUUGGGAAACUUGUUUUCUUAGUGGCGCAGCUAACGCGAUAAAUUGACCGCCUGGGGAGUACGGCCGCAAGGUUAAAA